UACGAAGGGGGCUAGCGUUGCUCGGAAUCACUGGGCGUAAAGGGUGCGUAGGCGGGUCUUUAAGUCAGGGGUGAAAUCCUGGAGCUCAACUCCAGAACUGCCUUUGAUACUGAGGAUCUUGAGUCCGGGAGAGGUGAGUGGAACUGCGAGUGUAGAGGUGAAAUUCGUAGAUAUUCGCAAGAACACCAGUGGCGAAGGCGGCUCACUGGUCCGGUACUGACGCUGAGGCACGAAAGCGUGGGGAGCAAACAGG
rnacentral:rRNA from 1 species